GACAGUGUCUAGAUAAAACCUCCAAUUUAC
rnacentral:piRNA from 1 species